AGAAACUUAGGUUAACAUCUAAACCCAGAGCCUUCAAAGCCCUAAACAGAGAUAAA
rnacentral:tRNA from 1 species